UACGUAGGAUCCGAGCGUUAUCCGGAGUGACUGGGCGUAAAGAGUUGCGUAGGUGGUUUGUUAAGUAGAUAGUGAAAUCUGGCGGCUCAACCGUACAGGCUAUUAUCUAAACUGACAAACUCGAGAAUGGUAGAGGUAACUGGAAUUUCUUGUGUAGGAGUGAAAUCCGUAGAUAUAAGAAGGAACACCAAUGGCGUAGGCAGGUUACUGGACCAUUUCUGACACUGAGGCACGAAAGCGUGGGGAGCGAACCGG
rnacentral:rRNA from 1 species